rnacentral:rRNA from 1 species
UACGUAGGGUGCAAGCGUUGUCCGGAAUUAUUGGGCGUAAAGAGCUCGUAGGCGGCUUGUUGCGUCGGCUGUGAAAACCCGGGGCUCAACUCCGGGCCUGCAGCCGAUACGGGCAGACUAGAGUUCGGCAGGGGAGACUGGAAUUCCUGGUGUAGCGGUGAAAUGCGCAGAUAUCAGGAGGAACACCGGUGGCGAAGGCGGGUCUCUGGGCCGAUACUGACGCUGAGGAGCGAAAGCGUGGGGAGCGAACAGG